CCCUUAGAUGUCCUGGGCCGCACGCGCGUUACACUGAUGCAUUCAACGAGCUUAUAACCUUGGCCGAGAGGCCUGGGCAAUCUUGUUAACGUGCAUCGUGAUAGGGAUAGAUUAUUGAAAUUAUUAAUCUUGAACGAGGAAUUCCUAGUAAACGCAGAUCAUCAAUCUGCAUUGAUUACGUCCCUGCACUUUGUACACACCGCCCGUCGCACCUACCGAUUGGAUGGUCCGGUGAAGCCUCGGGAUUGUGGUUCUUGCCGCUUUAUUGUGGCGUGACCGCGAGAACUUGUCUAAACCUUAUCAUCUAGAGGAAGGUGAAGUCGUAACA
rnacentral:rRNA from 1 species